rnacentral:lncRNA from 1 species
CCCCUAAUUACAGAAAUAAUCAUUUAAAUCUAUAAGCAAGAUAAACUGCAUAUAACAGCAUUCAUUAAUGGGUGCGUCACAUAAUCAAACAACAACAACAAAGCCUUUUCCCACUAAGUGGGGUCGGCUAUAUGAAUCCUAGAACGCCAUUGCGCUCGGUUUUGUGUCAUGUCCUCCGUUAGAUCCAAGUACUCUAAGUCUUUUCUUAGAGUCUCUUCCAAAGUUGUCCUAGGUCUUCCUCUACCCCUUCGGCCCUGAACCUCUGUCCCGUAGUCACAUCUUCGAACCGGAGCGUCAGUCGGCCUUCUUUGCACAUGUUCAAAAUCACCGGAGCCGAUUUUCUCUCAUAUUUCCUACAAUUUCGGCUACUCCUACUUUACCUCGGAUAUCCUCAUUCCCAAUCUUAUCCUUUCUCGUGUGCCCACACAUCCCACGAAGCAUCCUCAUCUCCGCUACACCCAUUUUGUGUACGUGUUGAUGCUUCACCACCCAACAUUCUGUGCCAUACAACAUCGCUAGCCUUAUUGCCGUCCUAUAAAAUUUUCCCUUGAGCUUCGGUGGCCUACGACGGUCACACAACACGCCGGAUGCACUCUUUCCAUCCAGCUCGUAUUCUAUGGUUGAGAUCUCCAUCUAAUUCUCCGUUCUCUUUUGCAAGAUAGAUCCUAGGUAGCGAAAACGAUUGCUUUUUGUGAUCUUCGCUAGAUUGCUCCGGUCAUUAGUGUGGAUAAGUAUAUAAAUGGAUAGAGAUAGGAAAGCAAACACAAGAUGUACGUGGUUCACCCAGAUUGGCUACGUCCACGGAAUAGAAGAGUUCUCAUUAAUUGUGAAGGGUUUACACAAGUACAUAGGUUCAAGCUCUCAUUUAGUGAGUACAAGUGAAUGAUUUAGUACAAAUGACAUUAGGAAAUAUUGUGGGAGAAUGAUCUCGUAGUCACGAAACUUCUAAGUAUCGGAGUGUGGUGUCGUCUUGACUUGCCUUAUCUGUCUCAUAGGUAGAUGUGGCAUCUUCUCUGGAAGUACUCUUCCUCCAUCCAGGGGUGGUAUCUUUAACUGGUGGAGAUGCACAAGGUAAUGUAUCAAUUUCACUUGAAGCUUACUUGUAGUUUCAGGCUUGGUCAAGCGCGAUACAAACCAUGUAGUAGGAGUCCCCCAAGUCGCCGAGCUAGGGGGUCUGCUGAAAGAGGUGACAGACAAGGUAAGCAAUCAGAGCUCCGACUGAUUGUUCACCUUCUCCCCAUCUUGCAGCAGCAUGAAGGAUAGAGAGAAGAAGAAAUGAGAAGAGAUGAUAUGAGAUACUUUUGCUUUUGAAGAAGUAACUUUCCACAGGCUUAUUCUUGAACUGAGCUGGAGGGUUUUCUGGUUUCCUCCAGAGUAUAAGGCCGACUGAAGAAUUUGAGGGUCAAAACAAGUCCAUCAAAUCUAGAGUACGUUCCACCCUGCUGAUAUGGGAUACUUUUGCUUUUGACAGAGUAAUGAAUGUAUCGGCACGUGUGCUGUUACGCUUGUCUCCACAUGCUUCCUUGUAUCCUUCGCACUUGCCCUAUCUGUUCCUCAAGCAGAUGCGGAAUCUUCCCUGGAAACAUAAGAUGUUGAAGAUGAGUACUCGAGAGCAAUGCCAGGUAAGUAAUCAGGUAAGGGGUUCCAGGCAGUCAGUUCCUGGCUGGAAGCUUGAUUCCAAGUGCUGACUGAUUGCUCUCUUUCUCCUUGUCUUGCAGGUAAAAACAAGGCCAAAAGAAAAGACAGGGAAAAAGCAUGAUAUGGGAUACUCUUGCUUUUAACCCUGAUGAUAUGAGAUAUUCUUGCUCUAGUAUAGCUUGUUUGCAGAGGUAUUAUCGGGGGGAAAGAAAGCUGAAUAUUUCGAAAGGCUUCGUUGGGAGUGCCCUCUCAGAUAUGAUGAAGGGUUGAGCAUUUUUGCAGGUCUGCCUGUCCGUUGGGGAUGGAGGUCGACAUAUAUAGGAGUCUCCCUAACAACAAGUAGUAAUGCUAUUCCUUUACCCUGCUUGGUCAUAGCACAGGUAGUGGGAGCUGCCAGUUUCACAUGUUUUAACUCUGUCAGAGCACUUUGAAAAAGUGGUCUGUGGUAUCUGGCUCUCGAGAUUCGGAGAACGAUGCCUCUUCGAUUUUUUUGAGAAAGCAAUCAUGCUGGGGGUAUGACUCUCGAGAUUCGGAGAGCAGUGUCUCUUCGAUUUUUGAGGAAGUAAUCAUGUUGGGAGUCUGGCUCUCGAGAUUCGGAGGGCGGUGCCUCUUCGAUUUUGGAGCAAGCAAUCUUGUUGGGAGUGUUGUCUCGAAUGUGAGUAAAGGUUGGGCAUGUUUGCUAGUCUACCUUGCCACGAAGCACAAAGGUUGACACACAGGGACUUUCCAAUUAUCCAGCAAUGGUACUGUUCCUUUACCCUCUCUUCGAUUUUGAGAAAGUAGUCAUGUUGGGAGUCUGGCUCUCGAGAUUCGGAGGACGGUGCCUCUUCGAUUUUGGAGCAAGCAAUCUUAUUGGGAGUGUUUUCUCGAAUGUGAGUAAAGGUUGGGCAUGUUUGCUAGUCUACCUUGCCACGAAGCACAGAGGUUGACACACAGGGACUUUCCAAUUAUCCAGCAGUGGUACUGUUCCUUUACAGUUGUGGGUAAUAAUAUGGUAGCUAGACCUUCAAAAUUUAUGUGUCUAAACUUUUGUUAGUGCUGUUUCUUUGCUAUUCUUUUACCUUUCUUGGUCAGAGCGAUGUAGUGGGAGCUGCAAGCUUCACGUGCUCAACUUUGGCAGAGAACUUUGGCAAAGUUAUUUGUGGUACCCAUGAGCUAUUGUUGCGUGUGGGAAGUGGGUGAUUGAACAGUAAGAUUCAUGUGCUUUCUACUUCACCAGAAGUCUUCGACAGAAUGCCCAUAAUUUCUGCAAAGCUGAGUGUGCGUGUGACAGGUGCUGACAAGGCUAGAAAAGUAGGUGCCUCUUCGAUUUCUGAGAUCGGCCCUCGUGGUCUCUGAGCAGCCCAGCUUUUGAGAAAGCGAGCGCCUCUUCGAUUGAUUCGGAGAACGAUGCCUCAUUGAUUUUUGAGAAAGCAAUCAUGCUGGGGGUCUGGCUCUCGAGAUUCGGGGAGCAGUGUCUCUUCGAUUUUUGAGAAAGUAAUCAUGUUGGGAGUCUUGGCUCUCGAGAUUCGGAGGGCGGUGCCUCUUCGAUUUUGGAGCAAGCAAUCUUGUUGGGAGUGUUUUCUCGAAUGUGAGUAAAGGUUGGGCAUGUUUGCUAGUCUACCUUGCCACGAAGCACAGAGGUUGACACACAAGGACUUUCCAAUUAUCCAGCAAUGGUACUGUUCCUUUACCCUCUCUUCGAUUUUUAAGAAAGUAGUCAUGUUGGGAGUCUGGCUCUCGAGAUUCGGAGGACGGUGCCUCUUCGAUUUUGGAGCAAGCAAUCUUAUUGGGAGUGUUUUCUCGAAUGUGAGUAAAGGUUGGGCAUGUUUGCUAGUCUACCUUGCCACGAAGCACAGAGGUUGACACACAGGGACUUUCCAAUUAUCCAGCAGUGGUACUGUUCCUUUACCCUUGUGGGUAAUAAUAUGGUAGCUAGACCUUCAAAAUUUAUGGGUCUAAACUUUGUUAGUGCUGUUUCUUUGCUAUUCUUUUACCCUUCUUGGUCAGAGCGAUGUAGUGGGAGCUGCAAGCUUCACGUGCUCAACUUUGGCAGAGAACUUUGGCAAAGUUAUCUGUGGUACCCAUGAGCUAUUGUUGCGUGUGGGAAGUGGGUGAUUGAACAGUAAGAUUCAUGUGUUUUCUACUUCCCCAGAAGUCUUUGACAGAAUGCCCAUAAUUUCCGCAAAACUGAGUGUGCGUGUGACAGGUGCUGACAAGGCUGGAAAAGGCUUGAAAAGUAGGUGCCUCUUCGAUUUCUGAGAUCGGCCCUCGUGGUCUCUGGGGAGCCCAGCUUUUGAGAAAGCGAGCGCCUCUUCGAUUUUUUGAGAUCGGCCUUCGUGGUCUUUGAGCAGCCCAACUUUUGAGAAAGCAAACGCCUCUUCGAUUUCUGAGAUCAACCCUCGUGAUCUCUAAGCAGCCCAGCUUUUGAGAAAGCAAACGCCUCUUCGAUUUCUGAGCAGGCGCCUCUUUCGAUUUCUGAAGCUUCCGUCGAGUGCAGAUUUUUAUAGGGGCUGGCAUUAAGUUCCAAAGCACACUUGAAUCUCCACCAGUAGAAGCUUCAUUCUUGCACUUCUAAGAUCUUGAUUUGUCCGACCUCUUCUCUCUUCAACACCUUUGAAAAUGUCUGGCCCCUCCGACCGUCGUUUUUGACUUGAACCUUGUUGAAGAGGCAGCCCCGCCUUCUCCAGACAAACAUAUGGCGCCCAUCCUUCGUCUCCCCUACUGGUCCUCUUACCGUUGGGGAUUCCGUGAUGAAGAAUGAUAUGACCGCUGCGGUGGUGGCCAGGAACCUUCUCACUCCCAAAGAUAACAGACUACUUUCCAAACGGUCUGAUGAGUUAGCUGUUAAGGAUUCGCUGGCUCUCAGUGUUCAGUGUGCAGGUUCUGUGUCUAAUAUGGCCCAACGCCUAUUUGCUCGAACCCGCCAAGUUGAAUCAUUGGCGGCUGAAGUGAUGAGUCUCAAACAGGAGAUUAGAGGGCUCAAGCAUGAGAAUAAACAGUUGCACCGGCUCGCACAUGACUAUGCUACAAACAUGAAGAGGAAGCUUGACCAGAUGAAGGAAACUGAUGGUCAGGUUUUACUUGAUCAUCAUCAGAGAUUUGUGGGUUUGUUCCAAAGGCAUUUAUUGCCUUCGUCUUCUGGGGCUGUACCGCGUAAUGAAGCUCCAAAUGAUCAACCUCUGAUGCCCUCCUCCUUCUAGGGUUCUGUCCAGUACUGAGGCUCCAAAUGAUCCCCCUCCGGUGCCUUCUCUUUCUGGGGCUCUACCGACUGCUGAGACUUCUCCUAAGCAACCUUUGUGAAGGCUCCCUCUUGUGUGCUUUAUUUUGACUCAUGUAUAUGUACAUAUUUGUAGCUUAUCGGGGAUAUCAAUAAAUAAGCUUUCCUUCAUUUCAACGUAUUGUGUUAAAUACACCAAAGCCUUCUUCGCUAAGUUCUUUGAAUUUUCUUUUGUUUAAAGCUUGUAUGUUGAAGCUUUCUGAGUGGAGCAUGUAGGUUGGGGGGUAGUGUUCCCUUAAUUUCCCGAGUGAGGAAAACUUCUCAGUUGGAGACUUGGAAAAUCCAAGUCACUGAGUGGGAUCGGCUAUAUGAAUCUUAGAACGCCAUUGUGCUCGAUCCUGUGUCAUGUCCUUCGUUAGAUCUAAGUACUCUAGGUCUUUUCUUAGAGUCUCUUCCAAAGUUUUCCUAGGUCUUCCUCUACCCCCUUCGGCCCUGAACCUCUGUCCCAUAGUCGCAUCUUCUAAUCGGAACGUCAGUAGGCCUUCUUUGCACAUGUCCAAACCACCGUAACCGAUUUUCUCUCAUCUUUCCUUCAAUUUCGGCUACUCCUACUUUACCCCGGAUAUCCUCAUUCCUAAUCUUAUCCUUUCUCGUGUGCCCACACAUCCAUCCAACGAAGCAUCCUCAUCUCCGCUACACCCAUUUUGUGUACGUGUUGAUGUUUCACCGCCCAACAUUCUGUGCCAUACAGCAUCGCCGGCCUUAUUG